GCAUAUCUUUAUGCCAAGGUAAAUUGCUGUGAUUCUCUCACAUAUGAGUUACCAAACUUCAAAAGGUAAGGAAUUGUUUUUGAAAUUAUGGAAACUUAACCUUGAUUCAACAUACCAUGAAGUAGCCUGAUAUCUAUAUAUAAAGUUCUAUUUUGAUUGGGUCCAAGAUAAGGAGCGGGUAUCAGAACAGUCUCUUAGUCAUAGGCUUACCGCUGGGUUUUUUUUUUGAUUCCUGAAUAAUGAAAGCAUAACCUUUUCCUUUUAUUUUUUUUCUUUUAAAUGUAAGAAGCUUUUAUGUUGUCAAAAAGUGUAUCGAAGGUGCUGUUUUCAGAGGUUCAAAGCUAUCUCUACCUGAAGAGCUAUUUUGGCCAAAAACUGAUGAUGUAUAAAGCAAAACAUUGUGCCUGUCAGGCUUAGCUUAGUUGGUCUUCUGCAUCCUUCAAGGGUGCAGGGAAGGGAGGGGGGUCUUUGAGUUUGAAUCCCUAUUCACUGAAUAUCGAUAGAUUUAAAGAAAUGGACUGGGGGAUAGGGAAGAGAGAGGGCUAUCACCCAUUGUGUAGUCCAAGGCCUUUAGGACCCCCCAAGGAAUAAAAUAAGUCACAUUAUGAAACUGCUUUAUUCAGUACAAAUUUUUAAUAUAUGCUUGACCUUUUGUAGUUCCAUUUUAGUAUUCCAGUUCCUCACUUCAGCCAUUGCAUUUGCAGGUAAAUAGACUGAAGGAUGCAA
rnacentral:misc_RNA from 1 species